rnacentral:tRNA from 2 species
GUAAAAUAAGCUAAAUAAGCUUUCGGGCCCAUACCCCAAAUAUGUUGGUGAGAACCCUUCUUUUACUA